UCAACAGGGAAGAAUCCCACUUAACGCCCUGGGAAGAAGGGAGGCAGGUAGAGGAGCAGCCUGCUGUCUGGUGCAGCCCUCCAGACAGAAGCUGCUGGGUCUUGGUGAAGGGCGGGAAGCCAGCCGCAGAGCUGAAGAUGGGCUGCAACCGGGCGGAGGAGGGGUGUGGCGGAGGGCCCUACUCUCCCCCCACCCAUCUGUGUCCUAAACCUGGAUGUGUCGCCUCUCGCUGAGGGUCUGGGCGCCCCCUCCCCUUCUCAGGCUCCUCCGCCUCGCCCCUCCCUCUCACAUUUCCAACUCCCAAGGACAACUUGUCGCUCGCUUCAGACGCCAGGGGCUUCCCUCCGUCCCCUGCCUCUGCUUUCUGCCCUUCUUUUGUCUAUUCCUGCAUUUGACGGUUUCUCCAGGAGCGUUUCCUGGAUCUUCUUCUCUCUUGUCUGUUAUAUUCAUUCAUAUACCCCCCUUCUCUCUCUCUCUCUCUCCACACACGCGCACGCACACACAUACACACCCUCACCCUCUCCAACCUCCUCCCUCCCAGCCAUCGCGGCGCCUUUCCGCCACUGCUCUGGCCUUUCACAAACGCGCAAGGCCCAUCCCAGUAACCGCCACGCGGUGAUCCGACGGCGCCCCAAGGCGGGGGCAGGUGAGAUUGGCUGGAGCCCCGCCCGGGCAGACGCGAAGGAAGGAGGUGCCGGUGCCAAUCCGCCUCGCCGGCCCAGUCCUCUCCCCCAAACUCGCCGGCGCCAGGGGGACGCAGGACGCUUGAGUCCCUUCGCGCCCCCAGCGCUGUCGGCGCCGCCCCGCCACAGACACGGCCUCAGAGGCCUCAAAGGGGCGGCGGUCCGGGCGGCCACCCGGGGCCACCUAGCCCCUUGCCCUGAGCGCCCUCACCUUCGUCCCUAGAAGCCCAGGAUUCCUCUUGGGAAGACGCAGGAGGACGGCGCGGUUGUGAAAGAGGGCGCCAAAGGCGACGCGCCGGCGGCCAACUCCAGGCCAAGCCCAGUGCGUCGGCAGAAACCGGCCCUUUCACCCAGCACCGAACACAGAGCUGCCGGAGGAUUUGUGCCUGGAGGACUCAACGCCAGGGCGCCGCCUAGAGGUCGGUCGCGGCCUCAGCCUCACUCGCCCGCCACAACAGAGCUGCUUCCCAAGCCGCCGCCAGAAAUGGCAAAAACAAAAGAAAACAAAUUUUAGCUUGGAUCAGGGACUGGGCUACGGUUCUCUGAAACUACCUCCCCUCCUCCCCAUAAUAAACCUCAGGAAGGGAGAGGAGCCAGAAAUUCUCAGAAAUACUUAUUCUUGUGACUCUCACUAAAUGGAAGAGGGUCUCAA